rnacentral:rRNA from 1 species
UGGGGAAUAUUGGACAAUGGGCGGAAGCCUGAUCCAGCCAUGCCGCGUGUGUGAAGAAGGCCUUUUGGUUGUAAAGCACUUUAAGCGAGGAGGAGGCUACUUGGAUUAAUACUCUAGGAUAGUGGACGUUACUCGCAGAAUAAGCACCGGCUAACUCUGUGCCAGCAGCCGCGGUAAUACAGAGGGUGCGAGCGUUAAUCGGAUUUACUGGGCGUAAAGCGUGCGUAGGCGGCUUCCUAAGUCGGAUGUGAAAUCCCUGAGCUUAACUUAGGAAUUGCAUUCGAUACUGGGAAGCUAGAGUAUGGGAGAGGAUGGUAGAAUUCCAGGUGUAGCGGUGAAAUGCGUAGAGAUCUGGAGGAAUACCUAUGGCGAAGGCAGCCAUCUGGCCUAAUACUGACGCUGAGGUACGAAAGCAUGGGGAGCAAACAGG